CCUACGGGUGGCUGCAGUGAGGAAUAUUGGUCAAUGGGCGCGAGCCUGAACCAGCCAAGUAGCGUGAAGGCUGACUGCCCUACGGGUUGUAAACUUCUUUUAUAAAGGAAUAACGUGAUGCACGUGUGCCUUUUUGUAUGUACUUUAUGAAUAAGGAUCGGCUAAGUCCGUGCCAGCAGCCGCGGUAAUACGGAGGGUCCGAGCGUUAUCCGGAUUUAUUGGGGUUAAAGGGAGCGUAGAGGGGUUGUUAAGUCAGUUGUGAAAGUGCGCGGCUCAACCGUAAAAUCGAAAUUGAUACUGGAAGCAUUGAGGUCACUUAAGGUAGGCGGAAUUCGUGGUGGAGCGGUGAA
rnacentral:rRNA from 1 species